GGAGAGGUGCUCGAGUGGUUGAAGAGGCACGCCUGGAAAGCGUGUAUACCCCUAAAGGGUAUCGAGAGUUCGAAUCUCUUCCUCUCCG
rfam:Dysgonomonas gadei ATCC BAA-286 genomic scaffold supercont1.8, whole genome shotgun sequence.